rnacentral:rRNA from 1 species
GGCCUAACGGCUGAACCAGCAACUUGGGGGAAUGGAUAUAUAUAUUAGAGAUAAUAUAUAGUACCGACUAUGUCGGAUAAAGUUCUAGAUAGAAAAAUGAUAAUGACAAUUUUCUAUCUAUAUGUCUUGACCAAAUCUUGUGCCAGCAGUCGCGGCAACACAAGGGAGACUAGUGUUAUUCAUCUUUAUUAGGUUUAAAGGGUACCUAGACGGUAUAUCAAGCCCCAAAAGGGAACGGAUAUACUAGAGUUUUAUGUGAGAGGCAAAUAUAGUACUAUUGGUGUAGAGAUAAAAUUCAUUGAUACCUCUAGGCACGGGUAACGGCGAAGGCGAUCCUCUAUGUAAAAACUGACGUUGAGGGACGAAGGCUUGGGGAGCGAAUAGGAUUAGAUACCCUAGUAGUCCAGGCAGACAAUUAUGAAUGUCAUAGAUUAGAAAGAAAGCAUGAAACUCUUGAAUCUAUAAGGUUCCAGGUUACCUAUAUAGGUUCACUAUGAUUUUUUGAUCUAUAAAUGAAAGUGUAAGCAUUCCACCUCAAGAGUAAUGUGGCAACGCAGGAACUGAAAUCAUUAGACCGUUUCUGAAACCAGUAGUGAAGUAUGUUAUUUAAUUCGAUGAUCCUCGAAAAACCUUACCACAAUUUGAAUGUUAAUUAAUAAAUUAACACAGGCGUUGCAUGGCUGUCUUCAGUUAAUGUCGUGAGAUUUGGUUAGAUCCAAAAAAUUAUCGUAAACCCUUGUUCUUUAUUUGUUUGAAUAAUGCAGUUAACCGCUAUAUUGGAUUAUAUAAC